rnacentral:rRNA from 1 species
UACGUAGGGGGCUAGCGUUGUCCGGAAUCAUUGGGCGUAAAGCGCGUGUAGGCGGUCCGGUAAGUCCGCUGUGAAAGUCGGGGGCUCAACCCUCGAAUGCCGGUGGAUACUGUCGGGCUAGAGUCCGGAAGAGGCGAGUGGAAUUCCUGGUGUAGCGGUGAAAUGCGCAGAUAUCAGGAGGAACACCGAUGGCGAAGGCAGCUCGCUGGGACGGUACUGACGCUGAGGCGCGAAAGCGUGGGGAGCAAACAGG